rnacentral:misc_RNA from 1 species
AUGAAGAACGUAGCGAAAUGCGAUAAGUAGUGUGAAUUGCAGAAUUCAGUGAAUCAUCGAAUCUUUGAACGCACAUUGCGCCCUUUGGUAUUCCGAAGGGCAUGCCUGUUCGAGCGUCAUUAUCACCACUCAAGCCCCCGGGCUUGGUUUUGGACGGCCUGGUCGGUCAGACGACCCCUCCUAAAGACAAUGACGGCGGCCUCGUGGGACCCCCGGUACACUGAGCUUCUUCACUGAGCACGUAUCGGAUUAGGGGACCCGGGUCCCGGUCUACUCCCCCAAGGGGAAACUUUUUUCUAGGUUGACCUCGGAUCAGGUAGGAAUACCCGCUGAACUUAAGCAUAUCAAUAAGCGGAGGA